GCGGAUGUAGCCAAGUGGAUCAAGGCAUGCAGUGGAUAAUGAAUCCACCACGCACGGGUUCAAUCCCCAUUGUUCGCC